AAAUGCUACAUCAGUGGCUGUUGAGAGGCUACAGAUUCUCUGGUGUUAGGAGCUAGACACAAGAACUCAUGAACACUAGUUAGAAAGCCACAAUAACUUACUGUAUCAUUUUCCCUGUGAUCUUAACUGAGUUUCCAAAUAUGUGUUGAUGCUAGUUACAAAUACAAUUCCACUCCUUAACAAUUCUCAAUUAUUGUAUUAAUAUUCUGGUGGUUUACCUCAGCAUGCAUGCAAUCAUAUUGACAGCUUGAACUGCUUAGUAUGUGGAAUAGCGCUUUUUAAAAAACAAAGAAAAAUGGUAGAUAUAUGUUAUGCUCCAGCUUCAUCUUUGGAAGCUGGUGAUGGAAUUUCAUUCUUUUGACUUCUAGAAUACCUGUAAGUAAAUAUAUGACCCUUUCUUAAAAUUGAGAGCUGAUAAAAUAUUCUGUUCAUUUUUUACAUUUUUAUAUAAAG
ensembl:lncRNA